UACGUAGGGUGCAAGCGUUUGUCCGGAAUUAUUGGGCGUAAAGAGCUCGUAGGCGGUUUGUCGCGUCUGCUGUGAAAACCGACGGCUCAACCUCGGGCCUGCAGUGGGUACGGGCAGACUAGAGUGCGGUAGGGGAGAUUGGAAUUCCUGGUGUAGCGGUGAAAUGCGCAGAUAUCAGGAGGAACACCGACGGCGAAGGCAGCACUCUGGGCCGGUACUGACGCUGAGGAGCGAAAGCAUGGGGAGCGAACAGG
rnacentral:rRNA from 1 species